UACCAGCACCCCGAGUGGUCGGGACGAUUAUUGGGCCUAAAGCAUCCGUAGCCGGUCCUACAAGUCUUCCGUUAAAUCCACCUGCUCAACAGAUGGGCUGCGGAAGAUACUAUAGGGCUAGGAGGCGGGAGAGGCAAGCGGUACUCAGUGGGUAGGGGUAAAAUCCUCUGAUCCAUUGAAGACCACCAGUGGCGAAGGCGGCUUGCCAGAACGCGCUCGACGGUGAGGGAUGAAAGCGUGGGGAGCGAACGGG
rnacentral:rRNA from 1 species